AUGCACGCUGGCGGCGUGCCUAAUACAUGCAAGUCGAGCGAACAGACGAGGAGCUUGCUCCUCUGACGUUAGCGGCGGACGGGUGAGUAACACGUGGAUAACCUACCUAUAAGACUGGGAUAACUUCGGGAAACCGGAGCUAAUACCGGAUAAUAUAUUGAACCGCACGGUUCAAUAGUGAAAGACGGUUUUGCUGUCACUUAUAGAUGGAUCCGCGCCGCAUUAGCUAGUUGGUAAGGUAACGGCUUACCAAGGCAACGAUGCGUAGCCGACCUGAGAGGGUGAUCGGCCACACUGGAACUGAGACACGGUCCAGACUCCUACGGGAGGCAGCAGUAGGGAAUCUUCCGCAAUGGGCGAAAGCUUGACGGAGCAACGCCGCGUGAGUGAUGAAGGUCUUCGGAUCGUAAAACUCUGUUAUUAGGGAAGAACAAAUGUGUAAGUAACUAUGCACGUCUUGACGGUUCCUAAUCAGAAAGCCACGGCUAACUACGUG
rnacentral:rRNA from 1 species